CCUACGGGGGGCAGCAGUAGGGAAUUUUCGGCAAUGGGGGGAACCCUGACCGAGCAACGCCGCGUGAAGGAAGAAGGCCUUCGGGUUGUAAACUUCUGUUAUAAAGGAAGAACGACUAAUACAGGGAAUGGUAUUAGAGUGACGGUACUUUGUGAGGAAGCCACGGCUAACUACGUGCCAGCAGCCGCGGUAAUACGUAGGUGGCAAGCGUUAUCCGGAAUUAUUGGGCGUAAAGAGGGAGCAGGCGGCAAUGGAGGUCUGUGGUAAAAGGCUGAAGCUUAACUUCAGUAAGCCAUGGAAACCAAAUAGCUAGAGUGCAGAAGAGGAUCGUGGAAUUCCAUGUGUAGCGGUGAAAUGCGUAGAUAUAUGGAGGAACACCAGUGGCGAAGGCGACGAUCUGGUCUGUAACUGACGCUCAGUCCCG
rnacentral:rRNA from 1 species